CGGCGGGGAGGGGUGGACCAGCAGCACUCACAGCCGGACGGAGGAGCGGACGCCAGCCGCGCCGGCCAGAGCGAGCGCCCCGUGGCCGGGGGCGCCGUCCAGGCGCGCGCCCCGGACCCGUGGCUGGACGGGGGCGAUUGGCGCCCCGGACCGACGCGCCCCUCAGCAUGGAGCGCCCCCGGGGUCUGCCCUGAGGCGGCGGCGGCGGCGAUGCAGCCAGCGCAGCAGCUGCUUGGGCCAGGAACGGCCGCCCGGAGCUCGGAGGACGUGGAGCGCACCGCGCCCGGGGCGCUGACCGAGAUCGUGCACAGGAUCCAAGACUCGGUGGCUCCUGGUGUACUCAUUCCACAGUGCCUCUUAAUAGCAAGUGGACUCCUCCAAGGGCGAUGAGCAUCACAACUUUGGUUGACCUUGGUCUAGGUAAGCCUUGUCUUCCAUAGCAAGGUUUGAUGUCUGUCUUAUCAGCUUCUUUGCUGUGGUAUUGAUAUGGUUGUUUUGAAAAUAAUGGACUUUCCAGUAAUUUCUAUGAUGGUAAAUACUACUCACAGUUGCCACUUUAUACAAAAUACUGUAGGGUGUUUUACCCCAAACAGGGGUAGUCUCCUGAG
rnacentral:lncRNA from 1 species